CAACAUUUUCAACCUGCUGGAUUUCAUUUAUUAUUUUUGCAAGAUUCCUCUGAAAAAAAGAAUAACACGACUACAAAUGUUGAGACAGCAUAAUAUACGCACUGAGAAACCACCCAGUGAGAGCACUUAGCCCUGCCCCUUCCCUUUCUCCGGCUGUUUGAACCCUGACUUCCCAGAAGGAUGUAUCUUUUUUAUUAAGAGUGAUGCACUGGAUGGAGCUCCUGAGAAAACAGGCCUUUACCCUUCACCUAAACCCAAACCUUUUCUAUUUGUAAGCCCAAGAUCAAGAUGUCUAACACCAGAAAACAUUUGGUAUUUUUAUUGAAC